GCGAUGCUUGGCUGUCCUCCUGUUGCUCUGAUCAUCUAGAUCCAGGGUCCUCUAGAACCAAGUUGUGGGCUCCAUCAACCUGGAAGCCUCCUGUUUCUUCCCUUCCUCAGAUGAGUUGACAUUUGUGAGGAGUCCAGGACAGUCAUUUUGCAGAUUAUGCGGCUUAUUUGUUCAACAGUUCACAGUAAACACCUCCUGUGUGCCGGGCACUGUGCUGUGAGAGGAGAACAUCGUCGUCAAGAAAAACUUGAAGUGAAAGAAGACACUGAUGAUCAAAUGACAUGUGUGAGCAGUUGCAGAUUUUUCCAAAAGGGAGGCUGCAUAAAUUCAAGAGCAGAAUUCUCCAGCCUACCGUAUGUGGGGCUCCUGGGUCAACUCUGGCAGGGUCUUCCUAUCCAGUCCCUUCUCUUCAGCACCAAGAACGUCUGUCAUCACAGCUCCUCCUCCUCACAAUCGUGUGACAGUUUCCGAGACGGUGAUGUUAAUAAUGUAAGAGCAGAAAGUCCCAUCUGCCAGAUGGAGAGAAGAGAGGUAAUCCAGAUAGAAAAUUGUGAACAAUGGAAAGAACCAACAAUUGAUGAUACACAAGGCCACACUCAUAUAGAAGCAUGUCCGAGAGACCUGAGAGCGUCAGUGGAGAAAACACCAGCCUCCUACCAGUUGUGGCAAAGCCCCCAUUGUAUUUGCAGGUUAUUCUUAUAA
rnacentral:lncRNA from 1 species